AUUGAACGCUGGCGGCAGGCCUAACACAUGCAAGUCGAACGAGUGGCGGACGGGUGAGUAAUGUAUGGGAAACUGCCUGAUAGCGGGGGAUAACUACUGGAAACGGUAGCUAAUACCGCAUACUAUAAGAUGUGCCCAGAUGGGAUUAGCUAGUUGGUGGGGUAACGGCUCACCAAGGCGACGAUCCCUAGCUGGUCUGAGAGGAUGACCAGCCACACUGGAACGGAGACACGGCCCAGACUCCUACGGGAGGCAGCAGUGGGGAAUAUUGCACAAUGGGCGAAAGCCUGAUGCAGCCAUGCCGCGUGUAUGAUGAAGGCCUUCGGGUUGGAAAGUACUUUCAGCGGGGAGGCGUUACCCGCAGAAGAAGCACCGGCUAACUCCGUGCCAGCAGCCGCGGUAAUUC
rnacentral:rRNA from 1 species